rnacentral:rRNA from 1 species
GAUCCUGGCUCAGAAUCAACGCUGGCGGCGUGCCUAACACAUGCAAGUCGCACGAGAAAGGGGCUUCGGCCCUGAGUACAGUGGCGCACGGGUGAGUAACACGUGAAUUAUCUACCUCCGAGUGGGGAAUAACCUAGAGAAAUCUGGGCUAAUACCGCAUAACACUUACGAGUCAAAGCAGCAAUGCGCUUGGAGAGGAGUUCGCGGCAGAUUAGUUAGUUGGCAGGGUAAUGGCCUACCAAGACGAUGAUCUGUAUCCGGCCUGAGAGGGCGCACGGACACACUGGAACUGAAACACGGUCCAGACUCCUACGGGAGGCAGCAGUGGGGAAUUUUGCGCAAUGGGGGAAACCCUGACGCAGCAACGCCGCGUGGAGGAUGAAAUCCCUUGGGAUGUAAACUCCUUUCGAUUGGGAAGAUUAUGACGGUACCAAUAGAAGAAGCCCCGGCUAACUUCGUGCCAGCAGCCGCGGUAAUACGAGGGGGGCAAGCGUUGUUCGGAAUUAUUGGGCGUAAAGGGCGCGUAGGCGGUUUGACAAGUCUGAUGUGAAAUCUCUGGGCUCAACCCAGAGUCUGCAUUAGAAACUGUCGGGCUUGAGUAUGGGAGAGGUGAGUGGAAUUUCCCGGUGUAGCGGUGAAAUGCGUAGAUAUCGGAAGGAACACCUGUGGCGAAAGCGGCUCACUGGACCA